rnacentral:tRNA from 4 species
UUUGAUGUGGUGUAAUAGCACAAUACAUUUUGGUUGUAUAAGAAGUUAGUGACUCAUUAUUU